UUGGGUCUCUAGGUUUAAUUUCUCUGCAAAUAACAUUCUUUCUGGCUUUCUAAAUUCAAAACUCAAAAGCAGAAAAAAGAAAGAAUGGGGAAAACUAGAAUGUUAUGGGCAUCCUUCGCAUCCUUUGCAUUGGUGGCGCCUGCAUUUGCGGUUGAGUAUUAUGUCCGGAAGAAUCAGGAUCUCAAUUUUUCAAACCCUAAUUCUUCUUCUUCGCCUUCAAGUCUUCGCUCUGGUGGAUUUUCUUGGGCAGACUUGAUAGAUAUCAUUGUGAGCUGAAUCAAUCUUCAAUUUCUUUUUCCUUCUUUUGUUUUUUGUUUUCAUCCAAGAUUUGCCCUUUUCUUUUAGGAAUAUACGUUUUCAUGUUAUCGAAUAAUAUUAUAUCAUGUUUUAGUUUUUAAUCUCAUUAUAUGGAAUUAAGGUUUUGAACAUUAAUAGUUA